GGCUGGGUGUGCAAUCCUCCGUUAUUAUUUAUAAUUAUCUUGGGUGCAACUAACUUGUUGGAAACUUUAGUUCUUCAUCUCUAAAAGUUUUCCCUAUUUUCUUUUUAAAUUUUUUUUCCUGUAGUUGUGUAUGGACAGCGUACCUUUGUUUAUGCUUAUGAGGUGCUAAAGAUUGAACCCAGUGCCUCACACAUGCUAGGCAAGCGCUCUACCACUGAGAUACAGCCCCAGCCCUUUCCCCAUUUUCUUAUAAAUAACUUCAUAUUGUUUGCAUUGGUUUAUAUACUAUGUAAAUUAUAACAAUGUCUGCCACUGUCAAACAGACCUGGGGACAAACACCAGUAUUUCUUAAGUAUACUAGAGGAUCAGCUAUGAGCCUUCAGCUCACCAUGUCAGUCAGUAUGCUUUAAUAUCUGGUUAGCCAGUGUAAUUACAAGAGGGGCACAAGGGUGGAUAACAGCCACCUCCAUUACAAGCAAACAUCCAUGUUUAAAAAUUCACUCAGGUACGUGUGUACAUAUACAUCUUGGCACAUUUCUAACAUUUGUGGGAUCUAGGGCAAAAAUACAAAUGGAGGCCAAGCCUCAUGUUUGUCUCUUAUGAAGCUGGAGCUAACCAUCAAAUGUUAUUUCCAUCUACCUUAAUAUAUUGAUAUCUCAAGGAACAGAAAUCCAUUUUCAAAUAUAGAAUUCUCAGAUUCUUCAGAUAUGUGCUGAAGAAUUACAACAUGAAUACUAGAUUGACCUUGGACAUAUGUGGGCAUCCCAGUCUGCACAGCCUAAAUCCAUUCACAUUUCCUACAAACUGCCACUCACUGGGAUGUUAUGGUUGGAUGUGAGUAUCACACAAAAGCUCUAGUGUGAGACAAUGCAAGAAGGUUCAGAGGAGAAAUGAUUGGGUUGUGAGUCUUAACCCAAUCAGUGAUUUAACCCCCUGAUAGGGAUUAACUGAGUGGUCAGUGAAGUGCUAGGGUGUGGCUGAAGGAAGUGGGAAUUGGGGCGUGCCUUUGGGUAUAUAUUUGUAAGGGUGAAUGAAGUCUCUCUGCUUCCUGAUCACCACACUUGAGCUUUUGCCACUCUUCUGCCAUGAUGUUCAGCCUCACCUCGAGCCCUGAGGAAUGGAGCCAGCCUUCUAUGGAUUAAGACCUCUAAAACUGUAGAAUCACACUCGACUGGGGGAAGUUCAGAAGACAGAUUUCCAUUCAACAAAUUGUCUAACUUUCUAAGAAAUUCAUACAGAACUGGAAUAAAUGGCUUGACUUGGGUCCCAUUCUCAAGAUAUCUCUUCUUGCCCAUGGAAGGAGAUUGGAAAGAAGAGGACAAGAGCAGGGAUCCUACUGUUCAGGAUCUAGAGGUGCUGACUGACCUACAAAAAGUAAGGCAGAGUCAUCUCCUUCCUCCUGCUGAAUGCCCUGCUAGGAACAGAGCUAAAAAUCACCUGAACUGAAACAGCCCACUGUCAAUUUGUAUGAAGUAUGCCUUGAAGUCAGAUGCUUCUGGGGAAAGGGUCACUUCCUUAUCCAGGAUGGCUGCUGGACCUCAAGCCCUCCGGUCUGAAACCCAGCCAGCAGGGAGGAGGAAAUCCAGGAAAGGGCUUUAAAGACAUUUCCUGUUAGUCACAUGUCAUCUCCUCUUAUAUACCACUGAUCAGAACUGAGUUGCAUGGUUACAACUUAGCUACAAGGGAAAUGUAGUACUUGUUCAGUGUGGCUAUGUAUCCAUUUAAAAAUCAGGUGACUUCUACCAUCAAAAACUGAGAGGAUAUUUGAAGAUAGCCUGUAGUCUUGGCCACUCCUUCCAUUUCUUUACUCAUAUUGGUGAUAUAAAUAUUAAACUGAUCAAGACUAAGGACAAUAAGAGUUAAUAUUUAUUGUGCAUUUACUAUGUGCCAGGCUUUGCCCUAGGCACUUUUCAUGGAAUCAUGUAGCUAAUUUCCACAAAAUUCUUUUAAGUAAGAUCCUAUUUUUACUCUAUUACAUAGAUGGAAAAACAGAGGUCAAGAGAUCCUAGAGCCCAAGGUCAUACAGCUUAUAAGGUUUAUUGCUAAGUUUGGAAUCCAAGUUCUUAAUUAACUAGUACAAUGUGUUGCCUUUGGGCAGUGUGAGAGAGGUGUAAGCAUGUCUUAUUUUGGUAACGAUUAUUUUGGAAUUUUUUUGUCACUCAUAUCUGUAGUCUGCCUUCUCUGCUACAGGCCUCCCUUGGGUUGAAAUUAAUUAGCGAGCCACAGGCAAUCCUUCAAUUAAUGACUGUUCCACCCCUGUUUCUUCUCAGGUCUGUUUAGCAGCUGAGCCUUGCCCUUUAUAAUUACGAAAAAAUAGGGUCAGGUCCCAGAACCAGGUUUAUGCUUAGGAAGGGGAGAUGAUGCAUAUCCUACAUAGGGGAUGCAAACACGUCACAUGGCUGGCUGUGGGAGUGAGGGGCAGCUUCAAAAGCUCUGGAGCAAGAAAGACCUCAGGGCGAAUUCUCCUUGCCCUCUCAACUUCAGUGGAUAAGAACUCUUUGUAUAUUUGUUAUGAGGAGUAAAAUGUGGGUGCAGGAGCGCACGUAUCAUGCAUCUGUACACCACACAGCGUGGAGUCUGGCACCUACCAGGUAUCUGUGUUUUAUUACUUGAUCAUGACCAGUGAAAGCUCCAACUCACUGUUGGAGCUCCAGGCAUCCAUGAAAGAGAAAGAAAUGUGAAGGAUUUGAGGCAGAAAAUAUGGUGAAGGGGAUAAACAUUGUCACAUCUUUUUAAAAAUAUAUCUAUCUUGACUUCUGGGAAGUUAACUGAAGGAACAAAUUCAACUGAAACAAAAACCUAGGUGCUUGAUUUUCAGGACUAUCUCAACAGCUAAACUCUCAAGCCCCUCUACCAAACACUGGGGGAGGAAGGUCUUGGUGCACAGGGCACAGCAGUUCAGUGGAACUGUGGGAGCCCUGUAAGAGAAGAGGAUUGAGGCCCUGCUGCAAUGUGGAGAAAUAUUUAGGAUUUCAUAUCAGUGAAAGAAGGAAGACAUAAGUGGCCUGAUAUAUAUUUGCAACUAUACGUACAUUUUAUUUCUAUGCAAGAAAUGUUUAUUUCUAUGUAAGAGUAGAAGAAAGGAACUACAAUUUGAAUAUGUUCCCCCAAACCCAUGUGUUGGAAACAAUCCUUAAUGCAACAAUGUUAAGAGGUGAAACCCUUUAAAAGGGACUAGGCUAUGCAUGGGUUAAUGUCAUUACUGGAGUGAAUUUGUUAUUGUGGGACUAAAAGGAUGAGUUUGGCCCCUGUUGAAUUUCCUCUCACCCUCUAUUUCCCUUCCACCUUCUUAUGGAGAGAGAUUUUGGGACAAUGCAGCACAAAGGCCUCAACAGAUACAGAACACUUGAUUUUGGACUUCUCAGCCAUUAGCACUGUAAGAAAGAAAUCUCUGUUCUUUAUAAAUCACCCAGUGUCAGAUACUAUGUUAGAGCAGCACAAAAUGGACAAAGACAGAAGGUAAACGUUCAUAAAAACAUUGAUUAUUGAUUUAAAAAAAAUAAAAUAAAAACAGAUUUGGUAUAAGGUUGUGGAAAAAUUGCAAUAUUUCCAAUAUUUUCAUACACUGUUCAAUUGAACAAAGCAAACAAGGAGACUGGGUGUGUAGCUCACUGGUAGAGCACUUGCCUACAAUGUGCAAGGCCCAAGGCUUAAUCCCCAGUGCCACAAAACAAACAAACAAACAAAAACAUUUUAAUGAAGUUUUCCAAAGUUUCAUCAAGUAGAAAGUCAGUUUUUGGUCUUUUUAGUAAUUGUUUUCACAAUGAAGCCAGACCUUGGUUUCUAAAUACCAAUUUUCACUGAAGGGAACUAGGACUCCUUGAAGACCUGGCUGAUUAGAGUGUCUUGAGUUACAGAAAGCACAAGAUGACCCUGGAACAUCUGGUUGUGUCAAUAAAUAAGAACACUCGGAGAAUUACAGGACGGGUCAAAAGGACAGGAGCCAGCAUGAAUGAGCUCUUAUUGGUCAAAUCAGAGACAAAUUGGGCAUAAAAAUAAAUGACAGUAAUAAAAAAAUGAAAGAAUCCAGACUUUGAUAUUUAUUUAUUCACCGAAUAAAUAUUUAUCUAUAUUUAUUUAUAAAUAUUUAUUCAGUGAAUGAAUACAUAAUAAGAGAACAGGGAAAGCUCUUCCUUAUGAAUACAGGUAGGAAUUAAUAAUUAUGGAAUGGGAAAAUCACUGGUCAAAACUACAGUAAAAGUUGUUUGAAGAGGUAUAUGAAUACAUGCUAAUGCUAGGGAGUGAGAGGUUGAUGAGAAAUAGGACUUCUACAUAGUCUCAAAAUCUCUCUCCGUAAGAUACCCACCCCAUAAGAUUCCUAUUUAUUUACAAAGUGAGAAGUAGUGAGUUUACAGUGUUGAGGUCAGGAAGGUCCCCUUACCAAUGAGUGACCUAAACAUCACAAUGAUGGAUGAGCUGAUAUCCUGUGCCUCCUGAGCUGAU